GGAUAACUGGCAGAGAGGUUGAAAGACUUUCCCCACAGUCAUAUAGCUCAUUAGGGUAUGUAUACAUAUAAUUCAAGGAAAAAUAGAAUCAGAACUAAACAAGACGUAUAGAGAGCUCUGGAAAUGAAAAGAAAGGAAACAUGGCUUCCAGCUGGAAAUGGAGGUUAUGGGAAGAAGGGGAGAUAUGAGGAAAGACCCUCUGGAUGCAUGCAGGGCUGUGGAACAGAAACUGGAUGAAUAGACGUGGAGUUUGGAUCUUAUUAAUAUCUUUCAGGGCUUACUUCAAAAAUGGUUACCUCUGCCAUAUCUACAUCUAAUCAUAAUGUGAAAGGAACAUGACCAGGAGAGAAUCUUGAGGAUUUGGAAGUUUCUCAGAUAUAAUUAUUGAACUUGAUAAGGCAAAUCAUCCAAUAGUUAUGGAUUCUCCUUCUCCUAAUUGGAUCAUUAUGUUCUGGAAAGUUUGUCUCGUAUAUACCUCAAACUGACUUCUCUUCUUCCAGACAAGAAUGUUGGAGACAUGGUAAAGUUAUCCAACCCAAACAAGAUACAAACUUUUCAUGGUAUAGUGAUGCACCCCUAAAAUUGCAAACCAGUACUAUCAAUGUGAAUAGAGUGACAGGGGAUUUGAAUGGUUAUGAAGCUUGGCUCAGAGGAGUAAACUACAUUGUGCUGGAGCAUGGAAUGAAAAUGUUAAUAUGAAGAUACUAAGGCUUUGAAAAAAUAAUGUGAACACUUGAAGAAGAAUUUCACGUUAGACCAAAGGAAUAUCAAAUUGCAGAAGAAUGCAGCACCAGGUCUGAUGGGAAUAUAUAACAUGAAGUUGUUCAUCAUCCCAGUGAUGAAGUAGACAAGGGACAUUACGAUUCUUGGUUGCAACAAGUCAUAAUUUUUUUGCUGGUGGAGGUUGUUGCCUGGACGUUGAUGACUGCUGAGUGAUCACGGUGGCAUUUACUGAACAUUGAGGUGGCUAUGGCAAUUUCGUAAAGUAAGACAACAAUGAAGUUUGCUGCAUCGAUUGACUUCUUUCACGGAUGAUUUCUCUGUAACAUGUGAUGCUGUUUGAUAGCAUUUUACCCACAGCAGAACUUCCAAAAUUGGAGUCAAUCCUCUCAAACCCUGCUGCUGCUUUAUCAACUAAGUUUAUAUAAUACUCUAAAUCCUUUGUUGUCAUGUCAACAGUCUUCACAACAUCUUCACCAAGAGUAGUUUCCAUCUCAAGAAACCACUUUCUCUGCUCAUCCAUAAGAAGCAGCUCCUCAUCUAUUAAAGUUUUAUCAUGAAAUUGCACAAAUUCAGCCCCAUCUUCAGACUGGACUUCUAAUACUAGUUUUCUUACUAUUUCCACCCCAUCUGCAGUUACUUCCCCUACUGAAGUCUUGAACCUCUCAAAUUGGCAUCAACCUGUUCCAAACUCCUGUUAAUGUUGAUAUUUUGACCUCUUCUCACAAAUC